UUAACGUGCAGUUGAUCUCGGCCGUAAACGUGGCACCCAUCAACACCAUUGGUUGUAGAGUUUCCAUGUUAAUUAGCAUUAAUUUAGCACUAAUUAUAAGCCAGUGCGUCCCUUGUCUUCCUCCUCGAGUCUUUCUCCUUAUAAAUUUGAGAGGUAUAUAGAGUUGCACCCAUCCACAUCUUCGUAGAGACAUUGUGUCGAAGAAGAAGAAAGCGAAAAAUCGAAAACCCGUUUCCCCAUUGUGUCAUAUAGAAUCAAGAAUGGAGAUGCUGAGACUUCACUUUUUUGUCAUGGCUAUUCUCUCUGCAGUCAUCAUUUCUCUUCUACUACCUUCCACCAAUGCUCAGAGCCUCGCACCAGCUCCCGCCCCCACGAGUGAUGGGGUAGCAGUUGAUCAAGGAAUUGCAUAUGCCCUAAUGGCAUUUGCUCUGGUGCUCACCUAUAUCAUUCACUGAUGGAGCUUCUUUUGGAGAAUCAAAUUAUAGAAGAUUGUUCAUUCAUGCUAGCUAGGCUGCUAGGCUUGCUGUUGCUAGCUAUGUCUAAUUCUUGUUGAUUUGUUAUUACCAUUUUAUCAAUUCCCAUUCUUUUUUAAUUAAUGGAUAA